GCCCGCCUAGCUCAAUCGGAUAGAGCGUCAGACUCUUAGGCGGUGUCUUUGAUAUCUGAAGGCUGCGAGUUCGACCCUCGCGGUGGGCU